rnacentral:rRNA from 1 species
UACGUAGGGCGCAAGCGUCGUUCGGAAUCACUGGGCGUAAAGCGCACGUAGGCGGAUCUUUAAGUCAGGGGUGAAAUCCCAAGGCUCAACCUUGGAACUGCCUUUGAUACUGGGGAUCUCGAGUCCGGAAGAGGUUGGUGGAACUGCGAGUGUAGAGGUGAAAUUCGUAGAUAUUCGCAAGAACACCAGUGGCGAAGGCGGCCAACUGGUCCGGUACUGACGCUGAGGUGCGAAAGCGUGGGGAGCAAACAGG